rnacentral:lncRNA from 7 species
CAACAUUACUGCCCCUAGCAUGGUCGCUGCGGUCGUUGCCCUCAUUGCCAUUGUCGCCUUAGCUGUCGUCGUCGUCCUCGUUGUCCUUGACCUCCUCCUCGCCCUCCUCCUCCGAGCUACCGAGAACGGGGUGCUCCACAACCUUGAUGAAGGCCCGCUCGGCUGGAGUCAGGUCAUCAGACUUAAGGGGAAUGAGAGGAGGGAGACCGAGGCAUAGGAGGAGGAGAACCAUCGCCUUCGUCAAAGAACUCCUCCUUAGACUACUCAAAGUCUCCGAAUAAAUCGUAGGGAGGGGUUGGUUCCCUCUUCCUCUUCUUGUCCUUGUUGCCAGCCAUUGGGAUUUUCUUUGAGCAAGAGCGAAGAGUUUUCAAAGCGUGAAGAGAGCCAAUGGUGAAGGAAACUCCUGGAGAAUUCCUUAUUUAUUAAGGAGCAAAAUCGCCCUUCAUAUCUCUGUCCGUACAUGGUAUCGUCAUUCUGGAAGUGUCAUCAAAGACUUGUUUCAAUUUCCAAGAAGCAGCAUAUUUCUGGCAAACACGACAUCAGAGGUUAGUUAUGUGCAUCACGCCGCCCUGUCAACUUCAGAAUACUGUUUUUUGGAAAAGACGAUCAACACACCCAUUGGGUGCACGAG